UACGAAGGGGGCUAGCGUUGCUCGGAAUCACUGGGCGUAAAGCGCGUGUAGGCGGCUUGUUAAGUCGGUUGUGAAAACCCAUGGCUCAACCAUGGAAGUGCGUCCGAAACUGGCAAGCUAGAGUCUUGACGAGGAUGGCGGAAUUCCCAGUGUAGAGGUGAAAUUCGUAGAUAUUGGGAGGAACACCGGUGGCGAAGGCGACCACCUGGACGGAGACUGACACUGAGGCGCGAAAGCGUGGGAGCAAACAGG
rnacentral:rRNA from 1 species